rnacentral:rRNA from 1 species
UACGUAGGGGGCAAGCGUUGUCCGGAAUCAUUGGGCGUAAAGCGCGUGUAGGCGGCUCGGUAAGUCCGCUCUGAAAAGUCCAGGGCUCAACCCUGGGAUGCGGGUGGAUACUGCCGGGCUCGAGUCCGGAAGAGGCGAGUGGAAUUCCCGGUGUAGCGGUGAAAUGCGCAGAUAUCGGGAGGAACACCAAUGGCGAAGGCAGCUCGCUGGGACGUGACUGACGCUGAGACGCGAAAGCGUGGGAGCAAACAGGG